rnacentral:tRNA from 1 species
ACUUAUCUAAUAUAAUCAGUAUACUUGACUUCCAAUCAAGAAGUUUGUAACAACAAGAUAAGUA